UACCUUUCGGCCCCUGUUGGUUUUCACACACACUGUUUCUAUGUUAGGCGGGCAAUGGAAAAACUGUCAGGUAUCAUGGUUGGAUCUGUAAACACACGUGAGUCAUGUUCUUCCUUUUCUAUCAUAUUAAACUGAUUUCAUAUCUGCAUCUAAUGGCAGGUGGUUCUCAAUAUUAAGGAAGUCAUCUGAACGUCUUUGUCUGACAGAGAGUGGAAGCUUGUCGUGCAGAGCUGAACAGAGAAUAUCAGCUCACUCUUCUGUUUUAUUUUCUAGCUCUCGAUGUCGGAAAGGCUCAGAUUAUUGAGUCUCCUUAGAGUACACUUGGUUUAAUAUUCUGCUUUAAUACUCUGACACGUUACCCAACUCUCACUUCCUCUUCAAUGGCAACCAAAGCACGUAGGCUUUAUGUAGUCACAGGGCACUGAUAAUGCAGAUAUUAGCUGCUCUCCGCAGCCGAGCUUUACUUCGGUAUUAUGAAGACUUUAUUACUAGUCAUUCUGGGGGGAAAGGCCCGAUGAAGACUGUCGAGUCAAAAGAAGGCAUCUUGUUAGUCUCCAUUGCACAUGACCUCAUUUUUAGUGUCCGUGCUCACUAACACGUGUUUUACUCGCUGCUCUUUGACAAAAGGCUCACAAAAAUGUUGAUCCUAUUUGUACUUUUUUUCAGUCUCACGAUCGUUUCAGUGGGUAAUGCAACACUGGUGUAUGUUAACACCACUAUCACCGACUCAGCAGUCCUCGAAUGUAGUAUACAAAAUAAAAAUAUCACGGACUGGAGUAAUGUUCGUUUUUAUUGGCAAGAUAACAGGGAUUUUGUGUUGUAUUCCUAUAAUGAAGGAAGAAAGAUGGCUGAGCAUGUAAAUGACUACUAUAAACACAGAGUCACAGCCUUCCCUCAGGACAUAAUUAGAGGAAAUAUCAGCAUCAUAAUCAAAAACCUGACUCUUGAAGAUAACGAAAGGACUUUCUGGGCUUUUGCGGCAGUCUUGGACGGCAGCGUGAUGAAGAAAUACCACCUGGAACACACACAGAUCUGCCAAGUAACUUUACAGAUCGGUGUUCCUUAUCAGAAUCCCAGGCUAGAUGUUAAUAUGAAAACAAUGACUGCAGUGUGCACUACCCAAGGAGGAUUUCCUGCCCCUGAGAUACAAUGGGUCCUCCUCUAUACCAGCUCUCAUCAAUCAGUAGAGUCGAGGAACAUCCAAACUACAACGAUGCAGAAUUAUCACGACCGCCUUUACAGCUCCCGCAGCACUCUACUAAUCCCUGCAGGUCCUCACGAGGCCGUGAGCUGUCUCAUCCACAACCCGACUUUGAACACGACAAAGAGGGCCACCGACACUUUCAGCAAAGGUGCUGGAGUGACGAGCUCCCCUGAAUGUCUGAUAUCUGCUGCUGUGUUUCUUCUAACAGCUCUACACUGGCUGUGAUUCACAGCAAAGGUUUUUUCUCUUUAGGAUCUAUCAUGUUAAACAGGUGAUGUUUUAGGCUAUUUACAGCAUUUUCGAUACAGAAACAUAGAUGAAGGACAUUCCCACAUCUUUGCAUAUGUAACAGCCUAAAGGAAACAACUACUGUUCUUUAUUUCUUUUCCAAUUUUCAUACAAGACUUACAGCUACAUUAAUCUGUCUGUUUCAGCCACCUGACAUAGACUGAUCCACCCAUCCAUGUUCUGCUGUUGGUACCAGGGUCUGGUUUUGGUAAUGGACUACUCCAGAGGAGUGAUUUUACCUCAUGCUGAAAAUACUUCGUGCCAUGGAGACACUUCUACUAUCCAUAAUUCAAACUUACUAGUUUAAUUCUUUUGCAUGUUUCACCCUACCUUUGCAUCAUUAUAAUCUCCUCCUGGCUGUCUCUUCAGCAGUAAGUAGAGAAAAAGAAGGGCAAUCACAGGGCAAACCACUGUGGCAAUUUUUAAAUGUUAAUACUCUUUGUAAUUUAUUUUUCUUGACUUACUUGUUUUGUACUUCAUUUGGUAGUGAAAGGUGUUCAGAGUUGGUUGGUUGGUGCUAGUGUGGGUUUCAUAGAGUCCUCCUGUGUGCCAACAAUCUUUUUUUAUACUUUAGUCUUAUUAUUUAUUCUUUUAGUCUAUUGAAAGACAGUUAAAAGGAAAUUAUAUUUCUAGUAAAAUCAGGAAAGUGCUUUCCAGAAAGUUUGUUUUAAAACUCAGAAGAAGUUCCAGACAGUGUUAAAGUGGGAUUGCCAGGUGGGAAAUGACUCAUUCAACAUUUAGUCAAAAAAUUAUGUGUACUGUGAAUUACAGUUGUCUUUCUGGACAGGCUGAGAACUGUGCUCUAGCUACAUUUAGCUAAGAAGAUGUUACGAGGGCUAUUGGGGCCGCUUUCCAACCCCCAGCCUGCAUGACACCAGUAAAGAAAUACAGAAUAACAGUAAUAUCGAAUACAUUAGCUUACCUUUAAACUGACGACUGAAACCUUUGAAACCAACUGUGAGCAUCUGCUUCGUAUCAGUCCAACAUCCAUCACUGUGAACUUUGAUUUGCUGAAAGACACUUGACAACAAAUUAAACAAACAAAUCAAUAAACAUAAACAUAGAUUAUGAACCUCAAAUGUUCUGGAAAUAAACAUUUAUAAAACACA
ensembl:lncRNA